rnacentral:rRNA from 1 species
AUUGAACGCUGGCGGCAUGCUUUACACAUGCAAGUCGAACGGUAACAGGCCUUCGGGUGCUGACGAGUGGCGAACGGGUGAGUAAUGCAUCGGAACGUGCCCAGAGGUGGGGGAUAACGCAGCGAAAGCUGUGCUAAUACCGCAUGUGAUCUGAGGAUGAAAGCGGGGGACCAGGCAGCAAUGUUUGGCCUCGCGCCUUUGGAGCGGCCGAUGCCAGAUUAGUUAGUUGGUGGGGUAAAGGCCUACCAAGCCGACGAUCUGUAGCUGGUCUGAGAGGACGACAAGCCACACUGGGACUGAGACACGGCCCAUACUCCUACGGGAGGCAGCAGUGGGGAAUUUUGGACAAUGGGGGCAAGCCUGAUCCAGCAAUGCCGCGUGCGGGAAGAAGGCCUUCGGGUUGUAAACCGCUUUUGUACGGAACGAAAAGGCUCUGGCUAAUACCUGGGGCUGAUGACGGUACCGUAAGAAUAAGCACCGGCUAACUACGUG